rnacentral:rRNA from 1 species
UAUUGGACAAUGGGGGGAACCCUGAUCCAGCGACGCCGCGUGAGUGAAGAAGUAUCUCGGGAUGUAAAGCUCUAUCAGCAGGGAAGAAAGAAAUGACGGUACCUGAGUAAGAAGCUCCGGCUAACGACGUGCCAGCAGCGGCGGUAAGACGUAGGGGGCAAGCGUUAUCCGGAAUUACUGGGUGUAAAGGGAGCGUAGACGGUGAUGUAAGUCUGGAGUGAAAGGCGGGGGCCCAACCCCCGGACUGCUCUGGAAACUAUGUGACUGGAGUGCAGGAGAGGUGAGCGGAAUUCCUAGUGUAGCGGUGAGAUGCGUAGAUAUUAGGAGGAACACCAGUGGCGAAGGCGGCUCACUGGACUGUAGCUGACGUUGAGGCUCGAAAGCGUGGGGAGCAAA